rnacentral:rRNA from 1 species
UACAGGGGGGGCAAGCGUUGUUCGGAAUUACUGGGCGUAAAGGGUUCGUAGGUGGCCACUUAAGUCAGACGUGAAAUCCCUCAGCUUAACUGGGGAACUGCGUCUGAUACUGAGUGGCUUGAGUGCAGGAGAGGAAUGCGGAAUUCCAGGUGUAGCGGUGAAAUGCGUAGAUAUCUGGAGGAACACCGGUGGCGAAGGCGGCAUUCUGGACUGUAACUGACGCUGAGGAGCGAAAGCCAGGGGAGCAAACGGG